rnacentral:rRNA from 1 species
ACUGUCAGGUGGGCAGUUUGACUGGGGCGGUCGCCUCCCAAAAGGUAACGGAGGCGCUCAAAGGUUCUCUCAGUACGGUCGGAAAUCGUACGUAGAGUGUAAAGGCAAAAGAGAGCUUGAUUGCAAGACAUACAGGUCGAGCAAGGAUGAAAAUCGGACUUAGUGAUCCGGUGGUUCUGCGUGGAAGGGCCAUCGCUCAACGGAUAAAAGCUACCCUGGGGAUAACAGGCUUAUCUCCCCCAAGAGUCCACAUCGACGGGGAGGUUUGGCACCUCGAUGUCGGCUCAUCACAUCCUGGGGCUGUAGUAGGUCCCAAGGGUUGGGCUGUUCGCCCAUUAAAGUGGUACGCGAGCUGGGUUCAGAACGUCGUGAGACAGUUCGGUCCCUAUCCGUCGCAGG